CCCUGAAACCCAUCCUCUCUCGAAAGAAGAUCUCACCUUCCAGUCAUCUGUCUUAGGAGCCUAGAACCAUGAAGCUCUAUCUUGUAGCCUUUCUUAUGGCUCUUCUGGCUGUCCUGGCUGGAGCUGAUGAUUCAUCUGAAGAGCACCAUGGCAGAAGAUAUCCUCCAUAUAAUGGAUAUGAUGAUGAUUAUGGAAGAGAUUGACAUCCUCCAAAUGCUCAAAAUGCACCACAAGGAGGAUUUCAGUAAAUACAGGUUUGCCUGGAAUACUGACUCGAUCUCUCCACGUGAUGAAUCUACAAGUCUACAAAUUCAUCAAUGUCUCCAUCUGCCUACUUAGCAGCCUCUAUUAUUGAGCAUUAGAUGGUAGCUCCAAGCUUGUUAGAUUAACAUGAAUCGUUCUUCCAAGGCACUAAUGCUCUCCUUUACACUCUCUAUUUAAUAAAUUCAGCUCACAGCAUA